GGAGAGAUGCUCGAGUGGCUGAAGAGGCACGCCUGGAAAGCGUGUAUAGGUCAAAAGCCUAUCGCGGGUUCGAAUCCCGCUCUCUCCG
rnacentral:tRNA from 1 species